rnacentral:rRNA from 1 species
AGCAGCCGCGGUAAUCCCAGCUCCAAUAGCGUAUAUUAAAGUUGUUGCAGUUAAAAAGCUCGUAGUUGAAUUUCGGAAUCAGUAUGUUGGUCGUGCUUCGGUACGUACUGUCAUUACUGGUUUCUACCUUCUGAAGAACCUUGAUGUCAUUAAUUUGGUGUCUUGGGGAAUCAGGACUGUUACUUUGAAAAAAUUAGAGUGUUUAAAGCAAGCAUACGCUUGAAUACAUUAGCAUGGAAUAAUGAAAUAGGACGUUUGAUUCUAUUUUGUUGGUUUCUAGGAUCGACGUAAUGAUUAAUAGGGAUAGUUGGGGGCAUUAGUAUUCAACUGUCAGAGGUGAAAUUCUUGGAUUUAUUGAAGACUAACUACUGCGAAAGCAUUUGCCAAGGAUGUUUUCAUUAAUCAAGAACGAAAGUUAGGGGAUCGAAGACGAUCAGAUACCGUCGUAGUCUUAACCAUAAACUAUGCCGA